rnacentral:rRNA from 1 species
UGGGGAAUUUUGCACAAUGGUGGAAACCCUGAUGCAGCGACGCCGCGUGAUUUAGAAGGCCUUCGGGUUGUAAAAAUCUUUUCUAUGGGAAGAAAAUGACAGUACCAUAGGAAUAAGGACCGGCUAAUUACGUGCCAGCAGCCGCGGUAAUACGUAAGGUCCGAGCGUUUUCCGGAAUCAUUGGGCGUAAAGGGUACGUAGGCGGGUAAGCAAGUUAGAAGUGAAAUCCUGUAGCUCAACUACAGUAAGCUUUUAAAACUGCUCAUCUUGAGAUAUUGAAGCGAAAGUGGAAUUCCUAGUGUAACGGUGAAAUGCGCCGAUAUUAGGAGGAAAACCGGUGGCGAAGGCGACUUACUGGCCAAAAACUGACGCUGAGGUACGAAAGCGUGGGUAGCAAACAGG